UGAAUAUUUUUUUUGAUAUCACCAACCUUCCCCUGUGUUCACAAACAAAACCCUAGAAUUAUCUUCAGACCAAAUUCUACGACAUUAAAUUUUGCGUAACGUUGAUUGGAUUUUUUAAACCGAAUCUAUGGCUUCCAAGAUUCUUGCAAAUUUGAUUGUAAUGGGUUCUGGAAUAAUGGCUAGGGCUCUUGUUCAAGCAUAUAGACAAGCCCUCCAAAAUGCAUCAAAAUCAGGUGUUGCUCAAGACACAUUACAAAAUGUUGUGCGUAAAGGAAGCAAAGCUAUGACUGAACAAGAAGCCAGACAAAUUCUUGGUGUCAAUGAACAAUCAUCAUGGGAAGAAAUCGCACAAAAAUAUGACAAUUUAUUUGAAAGGAACGCCAAGAAUGGGAGUUUUUAUCUACAGUCAAAAGUUCAUAGGGCUAAAGAAUGUUUAGAAACAACUUAUCAAGCAGGUGAAUAUGCAGGUUAAUUAAUUCUUCUGCUAUGGAGGUAAUCCUUUUUUUUUUGACCUAAAUGCCCUUGGUGAUGAUUGUAUAGUUUACAAUCUAAUUGAGUUUGAGAAAAUGAAAUUUGUAUUCUUUAACCAUGUUGACUUUGAGUAAAGUGAAUAAGACUUGAGCAUUAUAGGUAUUCAAGUGAGUCGAAAAAACGUGUUUGUAUUAUGUGUUGUAGUUGUUUGGAGACACAUGGAUGUAACAGAUAUAAUAAAAUGUUGCACCAAGUUAAUGAUAGCUUAAAAAAACUUGUAUGGGGGUUUGAUUAUAUCACAAAUUUCUUUUUGAGAUUUGGAGAUAAGUAAUAGUAAUGAGAUCUUAAAAACAAUCAUACUAUAAGUUGUUACAUAACAAGCAACUAUAGUGAUAACUAACGAAAUAAAAGGUAUUAAGAUGUGUAUCGUCAUCAUAGACAAAGGUUGAUAUGAGAUUCUAGAGGAUUCCAAAAGGACUGAGAGCAUUCAAGAAAUAUCAAGUUUGUGGAAGCGUAUAGUAUGAAGGUUUUGUGGACCAUUCCUUGUAAAUAUUUAUAGAAAAGUUAGUUUAUUCAUUUACUUAUAGUUUUGUAUUCCAAAAAGACUUGAUUUUUAUGAGGUAGGAGUCUUUGAUUUCUAUUCAUCUUCGGUUUAUAUAAUUCUAUUUUGUAAGUAUUGACAGAGUAACACAAGUCUCUUUUCGGUUUUGCUCAGUAAGUUGUUCAUACCAAGGUUGUCAAGAUCGGGAUUCUACCUAGGAUCGUUUUUGGGUUUACAAGAUUGGGAUCGGGAUCCUAAAAUCCCACAAAAUUAAAUAUAAUUUUAAUUUAUAAUUUUCAAUCAUGAAAAAUAUUUUAAACAUUCAAUUUUUCGUUCAAAAGUUAUAAAAACUUCAAAAUAUUAGUCAUAAGCCACAAUACAAAAUGAUAAAUGGUAAAUUGCUAAAGGGUAAAAGAUAUAAAAUGGUAAAAAAAAAAUUCAUUUGCUAAAAAAAAAAAAUAAUAAAAAAAUCAAGGAAGGUAGGAUCGGAUCUCGAUCUUACGAUCCUACCUUAAAUACGAUCCUUUUACGAUCUGAAUCGUUUUUCAUAUCUAGGAUCGUAUGAUCCUACGAUUAGGAUUGCGAUUUUGACAACCAUGGUUCGAGUUAGAUCGGGUUGGUUUGGGGGAUAAGUAGUGACAAUGAGCUUGUAGAGUUAAGUCAAUGACAGGUAGUGCCAGAGCCGACCCUUUUGAUAGGCUUAGGAGAAGGUUUGGAUAAUCAGUCCCAAGGGAAGGCUACGACUAUGUUUGACGUACUAGCUGAAAAACUAGUUGUUAAAUAAAAAGCUAGCUGACAGCUGAAAAGCUAGCUGAUAAAAAAUGACGUUUGGUAAAACUAGCUAAAAGAUAUAAAAUGACAUAAAAGGGUAUUUAAAAAAAGAUGUUUCUAUAUUUAAUUAAGGGGUAUAUUUGGAAAAUUUAAAAAAAAAACUUCUAAAAAACUACUCUAAGUAGCUUUUUAAAAACUAGCUUAUAAACUACUUUUUGGUUUGCCAAACAUAACAACUUAAAAAAGCUCGAAAAAUAAGUUAGCUUAUUAACUAGCUGUGACGCGCCAAACACAACCUAAGUAGUGACAGAGAGCUUGUAGAGACAAGUCCUCAACAUUUUUUUUCAUAACUCUCUCAAAACCUCUCUGCUUUCUUAGGUCUGAUUUUUCUAGGUUUCUUGAGUAUUUUAACUAGGCUCUAAAGUAGCUAGAAGCCCAACAAAAUAGCACUUUCGGUUUCGGAGUUAUGUUGGCGCAUUUUCUCGAGUUUUUGCUAAAACCUCUCUAAGUUAAACUACGCUCUUUUGAUUUCAGUGUAACUUUUAUUUAUAGUCAUAAGUCAUUAUUAUGAACAUAUAAAUAAGAUUUAUCGGUAAUUCUAACUUAAAAUACUGAUUAAUCUUCUUACAAGAGAGGUGUCUACAAUGGUCACGUUGGCUUAGUUGUUGGAUCUCAGAAAAGUUGUAACGCCCGUUGCCAGGUACUCCUGAGGAUCGCGAGAUGGCGAAGACUUGAUUGUACAUAUUCGCCCGCAGUUUAUGAUUCCAGAUAUUUUGAGACUCUUAUAUUUCGGUGAUGAUCUGUAUUGACAUUUGUGGGUUUCUUGAAAUGGUUUUUAUCAAGACAAAAUUGCAAGAAUGGUCCUUGUGUUAUGUUAAAACUUGCAAGUUUGGUCCAAAAAGGUUUGGACUUGCAUUAGUGGUCCAAACUUUUCAUUUUGUUGCGAAUUUGGUCCAAACUUUUCAUUUUUGUUGUGGAUUUGGUCCACGUCAAUUUAAACUUUUUUAUAAUGACGUUUUUGCCCUUA